CCUACGGGAGGCAGCAGUGGGGAAUAUUGCACAAUGGGGGAAACCCUGAUGCAGCCAAGUCGCGUGAGUGAAGACGUACCUCUGUAUUGUAAGCUCUAUCAGCAGGGAAGAAAAUGACGGUACCUGACUAAGAAGCCCGGGUAACUACGGGCCAGGAGCCGCGGAAAUACGUAGGGGGCAAGCGUUAUCCGGAUUUACUGGGUGUAAAGGGAGCGUAGACGGGCAGAGAAGUCAGAAGUGAAAGCGUAGGGCUCAAACCUGGGACUGCUUUUGAAACUGCCGGGCUUGAGUGCAGGAGAGGUAAGCGGAAUUCGUAGUGUAGCGGUGAAAUGCGUAGAUAUUAGGAGGAACACCAGUGGCGAAGGCGGCUUACCGGAGUGUAACUGACGUUGAGGCUCGAAAGCGUGGGGAGCAAACAGGAUUAGAUACCCUAGUAGUC
rnacentral:rRNA from 1 species